GUCGGCGUAGCAGAAUUGGCAUAUGCGGCGGACUCUAAAUCCGCGCUCUUGCGGGUUCGACUCCCGCAGCCGACA
rnacentral:tRNA from 1 species